CAGUCGCCGCGGGAAUACGUAGGGUGCAAGCGUUAAUCGGAAUUACUGGGCGUAAAGCGUGCGCAGGCGGUUAUGUAAGACAGUUGUGAAAUCCCCGGGCUCAACCUGGGAACUGCAUCUGCGACUGCAUAGCUAGAGUACGGUAGAGGGGGAUGGAAUUCCGCGUGUAGCAGUGAAAUGCGUAGAUGUGCGGAGGAACACCGAUGGCGAAGGCAAUCCCCUGGACCUGUACUGACGCUCAUGCACGAAAGCGUGGGGAGCAAACAGGAUUAGAUACCCCCGUAGUCCCUGUCUCUUAUAC
rnacentral:rRNA from 1 species